rnacentral:rRNA from 1 species
UCUGGUUGAUCCUGCCAGUAGUGAUAUGCUUGUUUCAAAGAUUAAGCCAUGCAUGUCUAAGUAUAAGCGAACUUAUACAGUGAAACUGCGGAUGGCUCAUUAAAACAGUUUGAAUUUAUUUGAUGAAUGUGUGAGAAUACUACUUGGAUAACCGUAGUAAUUCUAGAGCUAAUACAUGCAACGACGCCCGACCGUUUCACUACGGAAGGGCUGUAUUUAUUGGAUACCAAAACCAUCCUUCCCUCGGGAAGUUUUGUUUGAUGAUUCACAAUAACUGAUCGGAUCGCCACUGUGGUGGCGACAGGUCAUUCAACAUUCUGCCCUAUCAGCUUUCGAUGGUUGUGUAGUGGACAACCAUGGCCAUAACGGGUAACGGAGAAUCAGGGUUCGAUUCCGGAGAAGGAGCUUGAGAAUUGGCUACUACAUCUAAGGAAGGCAGCAGGCGCGCAAUUACCCAAUCCCGAUUCGGGGAGGUAGUGACAAAAAAUAACAAUACCGGGCCUUUUUGGGCUUGGUAAUUGGAAUGAGGGAGAGUUAAACGGACCAUCGAGUAUCCAUUGGAGGGCAAGUCUGGUGCCAGCAGCUGCGGUAAUACCAGCUCCAAUAGCGUAUAUUAAAGUUGUUGCAGUUAAAAAGCUCGUAGUUGGACUUGUGUGCGCUGUCCGCGGGUGGCCUGCGCCCAAAAGGGCGUUUCGGUUCGGCCCCGGUGGCGCCUUGAAAUCUGCAGCUGGGGGGACGUUGGCCUUAACUGGUCGGCGACCGCACGCCGGCUGCUCGGUUACUGUGAGAAAAUUAGAGUGUUCAAGGCAGGCAUUGGGUGCAAUUGAAUACAUUAGCAUGGAAUAAUAAAAUAUGGCUCCUGCCGUAUUUUGUUGGUUUUGACUGGUGGGAGUAAUGAUUGAUAGGGACGGUUGGGGGUGCUAGUAUUGAGCGGCCAGAGGUGAAAUUCAUGGAUUCGCUCAAGACUAACUUAUGCGAAAGCAUUCACCAAGGACGUCCUCUUUAAUCAAGAACGAAAGUUGGGGGAUCGAAGACGAUCAGAUACCGUCGUAGUCUCAACCAUAAACUAUGUCGACUUGGGAUCGGCGGUAGUUUUUUCAUUAAGACACUGUCGGGACCACGGGAGAAAUCAAAGUGUCUGGACUCUGGGGGAAGUAUGGUCGCAAGGCUGAAACUUGAAGGAAUUGACGGAAGGGCACCACCAGGAGUGGAGCCUGCGGCUUAAUUUGACCCAACACGGGGUAACUUACCAGGUCCAGAGAUGUAGAGGAUUGACAGAUUGAAGCUCUUUCUUGAUCACUUCGGUGGUGGUGCAUGGCCGUUCUUAGUUGGUGGAGUGAUUUGUCUGGUUAAUUCCGUUAACGAACGAGACCUCAGCCUGCUAGUGC